UAGUUUAAGGAAAUAAUUUUAAAUGUAUUCUGCCCAAUGAUUUUUUUUUAAAUGGCCGCAGUACCUUGACUGUGCUAAGGUAGCAUAAUCAAUUGGCUUCUAAUUAAAGUCUGGAAUGAAAGGAAGAAUGAAGUAAUUCUGUCUUAAAAAAUUUUUUUUAAAUUUAUUUAAAUGAUGAAAAUAUCAUUUUUUUUAGAAAAAAGACGAGAAGACCCUUAGAGUUUUUAUUAUUUUUUUUGUUGGGGCGACAAGUAAACAAUUUGAACUUUACUAAUUUUUUAAAUCGAUUUUAAUAAUAAGAUUAAUUAAACUACCUUAGGGAUAACAGCAUUAUAUUAUUAUAUGAUUGUGACCUCGAUGUUGGACUAGGAACUUUAUGGCUAGCCGUCAUAAAAGAUUUGUUCUGUUCGAACAAUUUUAUCCUAC
rnacentral:rRNA from 1 species